GGGAUAGAAAGGCAUUUAUGAUAUCUAGACAAAGUUUGAAGCCAUCAAUUAUGCCUGUAUUCACUGAGAAGUUUUCCCUAUGAAGGCUCUCUGAUUUUGUAGUUUGCUCUCAUGACAAACCCCAAAUUUAAUGAUGCUGGAGGCACUAGACAAAUUCCAACUCUUUUCUCUAUAUUGGAAGGGAGGAGAAAGAGUGUGGCACAAAAGCAGUGCUCAGAAGAUAAGCCCAGAAUGCUGAAGAGAUCACAAAGAGUACCAUGACACAGAGGGAUGAACUACCCUGCCCUCUUGACGUGACAGAACCAGCUUCCCACACCGCCCUCCAAAAUUCCCAGAGGACUGGUGCCAAGUCACAAAAGAAAUGCCAACAGCAACUAAAGACUGCUGCAAACCUCAUAUCCUUCUUAGCAACACAAAGCUGCCCUUUG